rnacentral:rRNA from 1 species
CAGUAGCCACGGUAAUACGUAGGUCCCGAGCGUUGUCCGGAUUUAUUGGGCGUAAAGGGAGCGCAGGCGGUUUAGUAAGUCUGAAGUUAAAGGCAUUGGCUCAACCAAUGUAUGCUUUGGAAACUGUUAGACUUGAGUGCAGAAGGGGAGAGUGGAAUUCCAUGUGUAGCGGUGAAAUGCGUAGAUAUAUGGAGGAACACCGGUGGCGAAAGCGGCUCUCUGGUCUGUCACUGACGCUGAGGCUCGAAAGCGUGGGUAGCGAACAGGAUUAGAUACCCCGGUAGUCCCUGUCUCUUAUACA